GCUGAACUGGGCUCCGAGUGGGAUGCACAAAAUGAGGCAACGGUGAGCAUCAUUCAGUGCGCUUUCGGAGUGCGUCUACGGAAACUCUGGAGUUUCGCUUUCAAAGUGCAUCCACGGAAACGCUAUUUCGCUUUCGGAGUGCAUCGACGGAAACGCUUGAGUUUCGCUUUCGGAGUGCAUCCACGGAAACGCUUGAGUUUCGCUUUCGGAGUGCAUCCACGGAAACGCUUGAGUCGCACAAGCGUCCUACAGUUCUGCUUUGUAGCGUCUUCAUGGACCCCAAAAGUAGGGCCCCCGCUAAAGGGCGGUGCGACGUGUUGUUUGUCUUAGUGCGGACCACCAAGAAUGACGUCACGUAUGCGGGAAAGAACUUCAAGGCGUUUUCCCAGCUUUUACAUCGAGCCGUGGCCUCCAACACGAAACUUGGGUUGGACUUCCAGUAUGAAAUCUCCAUCUCAUUAUUUCCACUUUGGACAAGAUCGUGAAUAUGAGGAGUGCUCAUCGGUGCAGUUGACGCAACGGUCGGUCCCCUUGCACUCCUUUGUGUCGUGGCCUGCAUGACCACACCGUGCACAACGAGGAGAGCCCCGGCAUGCAUCAGCAGCAUGCCCGUAUCGAUUGCAACGAAUGCAGCGCAAGCGAUUUGGAAUGUACGGUCGCACAUCUGCUGAAAGGUACCCUACUUUUAACUUGUCAGGUAAGUUGGGCUUAUCAAAAGUCAAUACCAUGUUCCUCGCGGUGAUAUAUUCACCAUUCUUACGGAUCUUAAUUUCCUAGGAUUUCCUCCCCAGGUACGUUAAUCAGCUCUGAAACUGAGAUGACGCCCCUGCAACUGUUGAUGGUUUUGUGAAAAGAAGCUGAAAUCUUCUUUCCCGUCAUCUCGUGCGUGUUUAGGAUGUGCUCGCAGUCUUUUUUGAUUUGUGCAUUUUAGGAGCAGGUCACCAGAUUGUAUACGUUUGGUUUCAGUGAUGUUCUUCGACGGUGCUGCCACUGCCUUCUCCAAGGAAAAAAAGGGUGCCAUUUUUCCCAGCUUUGCUUCUCUCUUUGUGUCUCUGUUUCGAUACAGUCCUUAAGACUUGCAAACUUCGCGGCCAAGAUAUCGGUUGAUUGUAACGUUAA